UACGCAGGGGGCUAGCGUUGCUCGGAAUCACUGGGCGUAAAGGGUGCGUAGGCGGGUCUUUAAGUCAGGGGGGAAAUCCUGGAGCUCAACUCCAGAACUGCCUUUGAUACUGAGAGGCUCGAGUCCGGGAGAGGUGAGUGGAACUGCGAGUGUAGAGGUGAAAUUCGUAGAUAUUCGCAAGAACACCAGUGGCGAAGGCGGCUCACUGGCCCGGUACUGACGCUGAGGUGCGAAAGCGUGGGGAGCAAACAGG
rnacentral:rRNA from 1 species